AACAGAAGGACCCGCAACGGCUCAGGCAACUUACCGUAUCAAUACUGACGCUGAGGUACGAAAGCGUGGGUAGCAAACAGGAUUAGAUACCCUGGUAGUCCACGCCGUAAACGAUGAUAACUAGCCGUUGGGGGGAUUUACCCCUUAGUGGCGAAGCUAACGCGUUAAGUUAUCCGCCUGGGGAGUACGGCCGCAAGGUUAAAACUCAAAGGAAUUGACGGGGACCCGCACAAGCGGUGGAGCAUGUGGUUUAAUUCGAUGCAACGCGAAGAACCUUACCUGGUCUUGACAUCCUGCGAACUUUCUAGAAAUAGAUUGGUGCCUUCGGGAACGCAGUGACAGGUGCUGCAUGGCUGUCGUCAGCUCGUGUCGUGAGAUGUUGGGUUAAGUCCCGUAACGAGCGCAACCCCUAUCCUUAUUUGCCAGCACAUCAUGGUGGGAACUAUAAGGAGACUGCCGGUGAUAAACCGGAGGAAGGCGGGGACGACGUCAAGUCAUCAUGGCCCUUACGACCAGGGCUACACACGUGCUACAAUGGGAAGGACAAAGAGCCGCGAAGCCGCGAGGUGUAGCUAAUCUCAGAAACCUUUUCGUAGUCCGGAUUGGAGUCUGCAACUCGACUCCAUGAAGUCGGAAUCGCUAGUAAUCGUAGAUCAGAAUGCUACGGUGAAUACGUUCCCGGGUCUUGUACACACCGCCCGUCAUACCAUGGGAGUGGGUUGCACCAGAAGUGGCUAGUCUAACUUUAUUGAGGACGGUCACCACGGUGUGAUUCAUGACUGGGGUAAAGUCGUAACAAGGUAGCCGUACCGGAAGGUGCGGCUG
rnacentral:rRNA from 1 species